rnacentral:rRNA from 1 species
UACGAGGGGGGCAAGCGUUGUUCGGAUUUACUGGGCGUAAAGGGCGCGUAGGCGGUCAGCACAAGUCAGUUGUGAAAUCUCCGGGCUUAACCCGGAAAGGUCAACUGAUACUGUGCGACUAGAGUGCGGAAGGGGCAACUGGAAUUCUCGGUGUAGCGGUGAAAUGCGUAGAUAUCGAGAGGAACACCUGCGGCGAAGGCGGGUUGCUGGGCCGACACUGACGCUGAUGCGCGAAAGCCAGGGGAGCGAACGGG